CCUACGGGUGGCUGCAGUGGGGAAUAUUGCACAAUGGGCGCAAGCCUGAUGCAGCCAUGCCGCGUGUGUGAAGAAGGCCUUCGGGUUGUAAAGCACUUUCAGCGGGGAGGAAGGCGUUAAGGUUAAUAACCUUGGCGAUUGACGUUACCCGCAGAAGAAGCACCGGCUAACUCCGUGCCAGCAGCCGCGGUAAUACGGAGGGUGCAAGCGUUAAUCGGAGUUACUGGGCGUAAAGCGCACGCAGGCGGUCUGUCAAGUCGGAUGUGAAAUCCCCGGGCUCAACCUGGGAACUGCAUUCGAAACUGGCAGGCUAGAGUCUUGUAGAGGGGGGUAGAAUUCCAGGUGUAGCGGUGAAAUGCGUAGAGAUCUGGAGGAAUACCGGUGGCGAAGGCGGCCCCCUGGACAAAGACUGACGCUCAGGUGCGAAAGCGUGGGGAGCAAACAGGAUUAGAUACCCUUGUAGUC
rnacentral:rRNA from 1 species